ACGAAGGACUAUAACAACGCGUCUUUUUUUUAAAUGAGCGAAUACUUUUCGAUAGUUUGACUCGGGAUACGGACUAAAUUCGCUUCGGUUUACAAAAUUGACGGGUUUUUAUGCUCGCAAAGCGACGUGUCGAGCUUCUUGUCCAAAUCAUUGAAGAAGAACGCGGCGCCAAAACAAACGUAUACUCGAAAAUUCUCAAGAAUUAUUCGGUUAUUGUUUUACGAAAUUCUAACAAUUUUAACUCGUUUGCAAAUGCUUGUAAGGGUCUAUCGCUUCGGGAGUUUCUUGCAUCGAAUUUUUCGACUAAAAGCAUUCUCAAGGUUGUAUAAAGAAAGCAAUAAACCGGUACCUGUUCAAAAGGCGCCAACGUGUACAUGCAUGUAAAGUCCUCACGACGUCAGUUGCGUCCUUUCUCGACCGCGCAGGCAGUGGUGCCCACUCAUUGAACGAAUCCCAAUUUAUCAAGACGAACAUAAAGAUGAAAGAGAAUUUUUUACCAGUUUAAAAGUCACUGUAUAUUGUCUGUAUUGAUCAUAACAUGCUAAUGAAAAACAUUCCUUCCAGCAUUCGAACCAUCCCAUAAACAGACACGAGAACACCAAAUUCUCCCUCGAAACCCAACAAAAAAGUGGGUACCGAAAAUCGGAAAGACAUACCUCGAGGUCGUGGGUGUGAUGUAAGAUGUCUCUACUCCAAGACUGGCCAGUCCUGAUUGUUAUUGGUUUGUCCAGAUUAUUUAUCGCAAUCAUUGUGUCCGA